rnacentral:misc_RNA from 1 species
CUUUGAUGAGCAGACCAGCAAUGUUUCUGUUUCUUAAAAUAUGUCAGGUGUGGCAUGUGACGUGGUUACUAUUAUUAAUACUUGAGUGGAUUCUGACUGAAGCCUAAAUAAGCAGACUAGGUUUGCCUUCUUAUAGUACCCAUUCAUGUUCGUGUGUUCAGCACUAUUUUUCUGCUGUGUCUUCAGCAAUGCUCUGUUUGGACGUACUAUGUUGGGUUGUAUAAUAUGCUAUGGAAUGUUUUCUGUUGUGAAACAGUUUAUGUAAAUAAUGCCUGUUUCAACAUUCUUAUAUGGUUUGCUGAAUCCGAAUCCAGGUGAGACAUAAGUCACAGGGCCAUCAACCGUGAUGAUCACUGGUUUUGUUAAGUUCAUGGUACUGUGUUUAUGGGUUGACCAAAUUUGUCCUCAACAAUGCACAAAUUGUUUAAACUAAGAGGAGUGAUGUCUUUCAAUUAUCA